AGCCCGUCUAGAAUGGAUUAUGAAAAAUAAAUGUUCAGACCAUGGAUACAUUUUGAAAUUCUAAAACAAAAAUUAUUCAGGAAUAUUUGUGCAUGCAUAAAUGAUGGUCUCUGAUCUUUGGCAGGUAACUCACACUGAGGAUCGCUAGUGGAAGAGCAGGGUUGUUUCACCUUAGGCAUUAGGACACCGAGCAGUAGCAGUAGAAGGAAUGUCACAUGCACUUUCUCAGAUAUACUGCGCAGACUGAUAUCCAGUUUAGAUGUUUGGCUGCAUUUCUGCAUUUGGCUGCAUGCAAGUAAUAUCAAAACUGUUGCAAUUUUUGCUCAUGCGUCACACACAGAUGUGUUUAUUAGCUUCUGUUUCACCUGCAUUUGAAAGAGUUGCUCUUCAUGUCUUUUAGAGUUAGAGGCAGCCCUGUUGAAGGAGCUUGACCCACAGCUUCAUGCCCACUUGGCCACAGACAACAUGGAGAGCUUCACCUUCUGUCACAGAUGGCUGCUGCUGGGGUUCCAGAGGGAGUUUGAACACAGUGAUGCUUUGCGUUUGUUUGAGAUCCUCAGCUGCGACCACUUAGAGCUCAUCUCGCAGCAGGUAGACCGUGCCCGCUAUCAGGAGAGGCUGGCACAAAAACACAGCACAGAGGAUAAUCCAGGAUCAGAGCCCCUAGCCAUCAACACCGACUUUACCUUUGAGCUCUUCAUCUGUGCAGCCAUCCUGUUGGAAAACAGAGAGUCUCUGCUGAGGUGCCGAGAUGACGUACAGCUGCUCCAGUUUGCUAGCAGCCUUCAGGGAACACUGGACUUAAACAGCACGCUGAAGAAAGCGGAGCAGCAUUUCUACAACUACUGCAAGCGGCAUGCUUGGGACUAUAUGAAUGGCUGCUGUAGGACAAGGAAGAGCAAAGAAGAUCACUUCCUUUAUCAGCUGCGUAGUUUAUUUCUUUGAUGAGAUUGCUUCUGCUGAAUUCAUGACAGCGAGAGUCAGAUUCAUGUGAAAUUUGACUCACAACAAGGGACCUACAAUGCUGACAAGGGGUUGUUUUUUAUGGCACAUAUUGUUUGUCUUAUAGUCUUUAUACUCCUGAGGGAAAUACCCUAAGGUGUUGAUGCUGCUUACCUUGAAUUCCAUAGGAUUACAUUAUCAAAUAUUACUGUUUAUCAUACAGUAAAUGCAUUUAUUGUAUGGUAUGGUGGACCUAUAAAUAAUUUAAGCUUUAGUUAAGUUCUUUUUUCUCUCUCUCUCAAAGUUUUUAAGAAAUUACCUCAGAAUCAGAUCUAUGAAAAAUGAAUGUUCUUGGCCAUGUGCAGCCACUGGAAGAAAACAGCUACUUGAGAGGCACGUGUUGAACACUGAGAUAUGGUGUGUCGCAACAGUCUAUCACUAGUGGGUGUUGUAUCUAAUGCCAGACGGCACAUGUGUCAAAGAGGCCUAUGUAACCAGAGUAGUAUUACACUAUUUUAGCUCUAGCAGAGAGGGAGGGGGCAUGUGGUAAGGGGGGAAACAUAGACUUUACUUCACAGUAAGAUGUCAUAAUUUAUUUAAUCUGAAAGAAAAGUUAUGAUUGUAUCAAAGGUCCUCUAUUCAAAAUUGUACCUCAGUAAAUCUGGUGAAGAUUUUAUUAAUUCAGUGUACUUAUAUAGGAUAUGGUAAGGUAUAGUAUAUGUUAAGAUAUGAAGAAGGACCCAGUGGUUCAUAAUGUUCACUGUCUCAUCUUUAUGUGCACAGGACAAAAAACAAUAAUAAAGGUGUGUGUGUGUGUGUGUGUGUGUGUGUGUGUGUGAACUGUUUUGAAUUUGAAAUUCUACUUUGUAGUAAGUUGAGACAACA
ensembl:lncRNA